rnacentral:rRNA from 1 species
UACGGAAGGUCCGGGCGUUAUCCGGAUUUAUUGGGUUUAAAGGGAGCGUAGGCCGCUUUGUAAGCGUGUUGUGAAAUUUGCCGGCUCAACCGGUAACUUGCAGCGCGAACUGCAGAGCUUGAGCGUGCGCAACGUUGGCGGAAUUCGUCGUGUAGCGGUGAAAUGCUUAGAUAUGACGAAGAACUCCGAUUGCGAAGGCAGCUGACGGGAGCACUACUGACGCUGAAGCUCGAAAGUGCGGGUAUCGAACAGG